CCUACGGGAGGCAGCAGUGGGGAAUCUUGGACAAUGGGCGCAAGCCUGAUCCAGCCAUGCCGCGUGAGUGAAGAAGGCCUUAGGGUUGUAAACCUCUUUCACCGGUGAAGAUAAUGACGGUAGCCGGAGAAGAAGCCCCGGCUAACUCCGUGCCAGCAGCCGCGGUAAU
rnacentral:rRNA from 1 species